ACAGGAAGCGAUGUGCACUCUGCUCUCCCUCUGCACGACAACCUCCUCUGAAGAACCUCUUGCCUUGACGUGAGACCCUACAAACAUCAUCUGUGUACGAACUACAGUGGAAAGAGACUUUCAGGAUGCUGAUGUCCAGAAUGCAGAUGUUCCCAACCCCAAACACAUUCUUCUAAACCAGAAGAAAGGUAUGGAAGCCUUCUUUUACAGAGACAAAAAAUGGCAAGGAGGCAAAGGCAAGGAGUCAAGAAAUGCAUCAGCAGGCUUCGGCCAGAAAAACGUACUUAAAUGUUAUUUGGAUAUUCAGCCCAAUUCCUUUGCUGUGACAAAGUAUUGAAAAAAAAUAAAUUCACCCCCAGCCUCCUCCACAAUGUUCAUCAGACGAAACUAAAGCUGAAAACUGUUCUCAGAAAACCCAUGCAACUGAUUUAAAGAUUCACCUUUUCCUGGCAUUAGCAGAUAACCAACAUCUGCAGUUUUAUUUCAUUUGAAGAUGCUGACGCUGAGCAAUGAUUCACAAUCAGGACUUCUGGAGUUAAGCUGUAUCAGCAUGAUUACUGCAUGCACAAAGAAAUACCAAGAUGUCUUCAAAGUAUGCAGCGAAUGGAGAAAGCACAAACAGGACUCUGCAAACCAAAGCUGGACGUGUCAUGCUCUGGGAUUGACAUCUGCACAAAGCCACUUGAUUGCCUUCCCUCUCUGCUUCUGUUUUCUCUACAUGGGCCUAAUGGUCCUAGCAAGAACCAAGUCUGGCACUGGGAUUGUUAGUGCACAGGUGGCAUGUUUCAAAGCAACAGGACAUCAAAAUCUUUCCAAACACAGAGAUGGUGGUGUGUCAUACACUGUAGUGCUCCCAGGCGGUUUGAAAAGGCCGGCAGCUUUGAAGGAAGUAAUUUCGGGUUUUGUCUCAAAUGAUGUCAGAUACCACACUGCUGCUCCAGGGACAAAAUGAAAGACUUAUGGUUCCUUAACAGUUUUUCCCUAAGUGGUGCUGAUACUCUGAUUAUCGAUCUCUGUUACUUGUCAGUUUAAAUAUAGAUUGCUGGAUUAAUGAUUUCACAGAAAAUAGGUCUGCAUAAACUAGAAAACAGUCUCUUAUUCAACAGUAACUGCAUUUAUAUUUUCUUUCGCAGUUCUGUCAUGUUAUAUGCAAGACCAUCAGGUCAGAUUCUUUUGGCCUCUUGUUGGUCAUCUUCCCAGAGAACAUAAAUGAUGAAGAAACUGUUCUCGGCUCCUUUAGCUGUAGAGAACAGGGGUGCUAUGGGGCUCCUGCCAUCCAACUUUGGAAGACACCGAUUUUUUGGGAGACCUUUAACGCCUGGGUGACUCCUACACAGCAGUUACUAUGAAGAAAGCUGGGACAGGCCAUACAAAGAGAACAUACAAAUCCACCUGAAGGUACCAAUUCCAUGCAACUCCUUUCACAGACAUAUGAUACGGGAUAUAUCAAAAAUGUUUGAUGGGCUGCGACAGUCAGUCGCUAAUUGAUACAGCCAAUUAUCCGUUACAGAUUAUGCAAAAUAUUAAGUGGUUUGUAGAAUUUUCCAGCAAAAUUUCCAACUCAGAUCUCGAGUGCCCAAAAGAUUAUUUUUCUUCGUGUUCCAAUGUUCUUAAAUUAGACAAAGCUGAACAGUGUAUGCCUACGGAGAGCCCAUGAACAAGUACACAAAGCAGGGAAUAAUCCCUAGAUUUAAUUCUAUAUAUGUUGGAAAUUAUAAAACACACAGAAGUGCUGAGAUGAUAGAAAGCACCUCCUUCCUACUCUCUAAUGAUAAGGAGAAAAACAAAAAGCAAUUCGCUAUUCUGCUACCAAAGCUGGGAAAGCUGAAGCCUCAUACAUUGUCAGAAUAAAAAAGACUGCUUGAUACCAUCGAGACACUAGGAGUUAUUACUGUAUAUGGCACUUUCAAAGGAGACGGAAUUAGGAAUGAAUAAAGACCUUGGCACUGAAAAGGUUAAUACCGAGGACAACUGGCACUGCUGCAGGUGGAUUGAGCUCACUGACAACUAGUGCUGGGAGGGCACGGCAGGAAGGACUUAGCUGUCCAGCCAUCGAUACAGUAUGUGUGUGACCUGUCUCUGUGAGAACUUCAGCAGAAUCCAAUUUGGAGUAUGAUACAGCCAAUCUUCCAGAAAAAUCCCUAGAAGAAGCAGUUUAAGUAACAAAUCAUGAAGUCACACUAAGUGAAAGUAUGCGAAUUGUACUAAUGCUCCUAUUUAUUUACAGUCAUGUGUGUAGCCUGUGUAGACACCAACACACCGGACUGAAGUGAAACACUAGACAAAAGAAGCAGAUAAUGCUGAGGUAAGUUUUCCGACCUCAGACUGUAAGAGCUAAUUCAGGGACGACUAUGCCCAUGCUAGUAGUUAAACCUAAUCUCUGGGAGAGCACAAGAAAAGUCAGAAAUACGCUUGGUUUCAAGAAGUGCUGCUGUUGAGAAAAAAAAUAAAUCUGUUUUCUCACAUCAGGAGUUGAAUCUGUGGACAACAACACAAGGAACUUCUUUUUUUUUUUAAUUACUCCACCUAAUACCAGGAUAGAUGCCUCAGAAGUUGGCUGAAACCCUUCUCCAAGAUAGAAUAACUGCAAAGAAAAAAGAACUUGAUGUGUGUCUUUUCUGUGUAUAUUAACUCAAAUAAAAAUCAAUAUUCUU